rnacentral:lncRNA from 1 species
AUGCCUUGCCAAUGUACUUGUGAUCUUCAUUCUUGAUUGAUUUGGUCUGCCGUGAAUCUGUGGAUUGCAACUGUAAUUAUGGGAAAGUUGAUCCUUCUUCUAUUUUCAUGAUUCUUGAUUGAUCUUUUUACCAUGACGAGGUCCUCCACAUCUUUAGCAAGAUAUUGUGAUUCGAUUUUCCAUAAUAUUUUGGACUAUGAUGCUCCUUCCAUUUGUUUUCUCAUAAUUGAUUUUAUUUUGAUACCAUGGAUGUCUUUCCAUCCUUGAGGUAUUUCUAUUUCUAGAGCCG